UGCCGGGAUGGCGGAAUGGUAGACGCGCCGGACUCAAAAUUCGGUGAUGGCGACAUCGUGUGGGUUCGAGUCCCACUCUCGGUACCAU
rnacentral:tRNA from 1 species